GAUGAACGCUAGCUACAGGCUUAACACAUGCAAGUCGAGGGGCAGCAUUUUAGUUUGCUUGCAAACUGAAGAUGGCGACCGGCGCACGGGUGAGUAACACGUAUCCAACCUACCGAUAACUCCGGAAUAGCCUUUCGAAAGAAAGAUUAAUACCGGAUAGCAUACGAAUAUCGCAUGAUAUUUUUAUUAAAGAAUUUCGGUUAUCGAUGGGGAUGCGUUCCAUUAGUUUGUUGGCGGGGUAACGGCCCACCAAGACUACGAUGGAUAGGGGUUCUGAGAGGAAGGUCCCCCACAUUGGAACUGAGACACGGUCCAAACUCCUACGGGAGGCAGCAGUGAGGAAUAUUGGUCAAUGGGCGAGAGCCUGAACCAGCCAAGUAGCGUGAAGGAUGAAGGCUCUAUGGGUCGUAAACUUCUUUUAUAUGGGAAUAAAGUUUUCCACGUGUGGAAUUUUGUAUGUACCAUAUGAAUAAGGAUCGGCUAACUCCGUGCCAGCAGCCGCGGUAAUACGGAGGAUCCGAGCGUUAUCCGGAUUUAUUGGGUUUAAAGGGAGCGUAGGUGGAUUGUUAAGUCAGUUGUGAAAGUUUGCGGCUCAACCGUAAAAUUGCAGUUGAAACUGGCAGUCUUGAGUACAGUAGAGGUGGGCGGAAUUCGUGGUGUAGCGGUGAAAUGCUUAGAUAUCACGAAGAACUCCGAUUGCGAAGGCAGCUCACUAGACUGUCACUGACACUGAUGCUCGAAAGUGUGGGUAUCAAACAGGAUUAGAUACCCUGGUAGUCCACACAGUAAACGAUGAAUACUCGCUGUUUGCGAUAUACAGUAAGCGGCCAAGCGAAAGCAUUAAGUAUUCCACCUGGGGAGUACGCCGGCAACGGUGAAACUCAAAGGAAUUGACGGGGGCCCGCACAAGCGGAGGAACAUGUGGUUUAAUUCGAUGAUACGCGAGGAACCUUACCCGGGCUUAAAUUGCAACAGAAUAUAUUGGAAACAGUAUAGCCGUAAGGCUGUUGUGAAGGUGCUGCAUGGUUGUCGUCAGCUCGUGCCGUGAGGUGUCGGCUUAAGUGCCAUAACGAGCGCAACCCUUAUCUUUAGUUACUAACAGGUCAUGCUGAGGACUCUAGAGAGACUGCCGUCGUAAGAUGUGAGGAAGGUGGGGAUGACGUCAAAUCAGCACGGCCCUUACGUCCGGGGCUACACACGUGUUACAAUGGGGGGUACAGAAGGCGGCUACCUGGUGACAGGAUGCUAAUCCCAAAAACCUCUCUCAGUUCGGAUCGAAGUCUGCAACCCGACUUCGUGAAGCUGGAUUCGCUAGUAAUCGCGCAUCAGCCAUGGCGCGGUGAAUACGUUCCCGGGCCU
rnacentral:rRNA from 1 species